rnacentral:rRNA from 1 species
CAGAGGGUGCGAGCGUUGUUCGGAAUUACUGGGCGUAAAGCGCGCGCAGGCGGUUCUUUAAGUCUACCCGUGAAAUGCCGGAGCUCAACUCCGCGCACGCCGGGGGAUACUGGAGAACUGGAGACAGGUAGAGGCAGGCGGAAUUCCGGGUGUAGCGGUGGAAUGCGUAGAGAUCCGGAGGAACACCAGAGGCGAAGGCGGCCUGCUGGGCCUCGUCUGACGCUGAGGCGCGAAAGCGUGGGGAGCGAACAGGAUUAGAUACCCUGGUAGUCCACGCCGUAAACGAUGGGCACUGGGCGCGGGUGGGAUCGACCCCUUCCGUGCUGUAGCUAACGCGAUAAGUGCCCCGCCUGGGGAGUACGGCCGCAAGGCUG